GGGGAUUUAGCUCAGUGGUAGAAUGCUUGCCUAGCAAGCAUGAGACCCUGGGUUCAAUUCUCAGCACCA
rnacentral:tRNA from 1 species